UACGAAGGGGGCUAGCGUUGCUCGGAAUCACUGGGCGUAAAGGGCGCGUAGGCGGGCUGUCAAGUUUGGGGUGAAAUCCCGCGGCUCAACCGUGGAACUGCCUCAAAUACUGACGGUCUCGAGGGAGGUAGGGGCGAGCGGAACUGAUGGUGGAGCGGUGAAAUGCGUUGAUAUCAUCAGGAACUCCGGUGGCGAAGGCGGCUCGCUGGACCUUUUCUGACGCUGAGGCGCGAAAGCUAGGGGAGCAAACGGG
rnacentral:rRNA from 1 species